CCUACGGGAGGCAGCAGUGAGGAAUAUUGGUCAAUGGGCGGAAGCCUGAACCAGCCAAGUCGCGUGAGGGACUAAGGCCCUACGGGUCGUAAACCUCUUUUGCCGGGGGUCAGUGCCCAGCUCGCGAGCUGGGAGGGAGCGUACCCGGAGAAAAAGCAUCGGCUAACUCCGUUCCAGCAGCCGCGGUAAUACGGAGGAUGCGAGCGUUAUCCGGAUUUAUCGGGGUUGAAGGGUUCGUAUGCGGGCCUUCAUGCCGGCGGUUAAAUUUGGGGGCUCAACCCCGCCGGAGCGGCGGGAACCGGGGGCCUGGAGUACCGGAGAAGUAGGCGGAAUGCGUGGUGUAGCGGUGAAAUGCAUAGAUAUCACGCAGAACCCCGAUGGCGAAGGCAGCGUACUGGACGGUCACUGACGCUGAGGCACGAAAGCGCGGGGAUCGAACAGGAUUAGAUACCCGAGUAGUC
rnacentral:rRNA from 1 species